GGCUCCACUCUUCCAGCGAAAUGACCCCAUGGUUUAGUCGACACGUCGUCUUCGUCAUUGUAUGCGU
rnacentral:sRNA from 1 species